UACGUAGGGGGCGAGCGUUGUCCGAAGUUACUGGGCGUAAAGCGCGCGUAGGCGGCCACCACAAGUCGACUGUGAAAUCUCCGGGCUUAACCCGGAAAGGUCAGCCGAUACUGCGGGGCUAGAGUGCAGAAGGGGCAACUGGAAUUCUCGGUGUAGCGGUGAAAUGCGUAGAUAUCGAGAGGAACACCUGCGGCGAAGGCGGCAUCCUGGACCAAUUCUGACGCUGAGGAGCGAAAGCCAGGGGAGCAAACGGG
rnacentral:rRNA from 1 species